rnacentral:ncRNA from 1 species
UCUUAUCCAGAGAGGUGGAGGGACUGGCCCUUUGAAGCCUCGGCAACAGACAUAUUGUACUGUGCCAAUUCCAGCAAGCUUUUAGCUUGAAAGAUAAGA